GAAUUUGAAAAGAGAAAGAGAAGAUGCAUACCACAUAUGCUGCUAAAAUGGCGUAAACAAUCAUCAAUGAUUGUAUCAAAAUUCUUAACAAGACCAGGUAACCCAUAUGAUUUUCCAUGUCCUUCAUAAUCUAUACCAUAUACUGCAUAUCCACCAUUUGCAAGUCUUCUUGCAGUGCCUAUAUAUUCAUUCAUUCAAUUCAAGUAUAAUAUAAUUAUGAUAUCAUAUAAUAAAAGAAAAAAGGAAAAAUUUAAUUACUUACUGUCCAUGGUGAUGCUGCAUUCCAUGGCAUAUCCAUGACACAUGAAUAUUAAUGCUUUUGGAUUUUCGUUUGCAGGAAUCCAACUUGUUGCCAAUAGCUUCAUUCCUCGUGAAUUCAAUACGAAACCCUGAAUAAAAUAAAAACAGAACGUUUCUUUUGAUUAAGAUAAAGUCCUAUAAUAAACA
rnacentral:lncRNA from 1 species